rnacentral:lncRNA from 1 species
UCAGUAAAUCUAACCGAUGCAGUUGCUUUUUCAAGUCCCUUUGGCUUGGCAUUAAGUUUGAACACGAGAUAUGUCAAAUAGGAACUGCCCCUUGGGAGGUCCCUAGCAGGCACACUGGUUCGAAUGUCAAACCAGCAAACUUCAACAAGCUCGGCAACCUCGAAGCUGUACAAAGGCAUUAAAAUCAGUUUAGGAUAAUCUUCGAAAGUCAUCAACUAACUAAAGGGAGAAAGUGAGAUAAUAAUAUAAAUGCAAUAGGACUAUAUACAGGACGGGUAUGUGUGAAGUAAGUUCAGGAGGUUUACCCAGAAGGUACAUCAGUGUACCACUUCCAAUAGCGUGUAUCAUUACCGUGAUAAAUCACUAGAUCCCUCGCGUUGAUGGUGUAAGCCUGUGAUGGAAAAUUGAGCAUCGACAAGUUAAUUAAUCUUUAAAGUCAAAAUAACAAAAGACUGAUGAGUAGUUCUCGCAUUGAUACAAACUAAUAACGACUGUUAUAGCUAGUUAUAUACCAUGUUGAAUAGAUGCAGCUCUGGAGUAGUGUUGGAAGGACUGUACGUUUUGUGGAAUGAGGGAUUGAAGAUUGCGGGAAUGGAUAUUUAUAGGCCUAUCUGAUUAACUGACGUUUGCAGAUAUUUCCAAUCUUACCUCAUCAGAGAUGUGUAAAAACGUGUUUCGUGCUGGUGUGAAGGUCAGAUGCUGAUGUGAAUGAGGGUGGCCUUUCACAAAACCACAAAUAUGAGUAUAUGACCAAGUACUAAGCUAUACGCUCCGCCACUUGAAAGUGUAUCCAACCAACCUUAGUGUCAACAGUCAUAUAUCUUUAGCAUAGUCAGCUGUAUCAAUAUACACUAUUCUUUUCCUAAUGAAUUCACCUUUCUCUUUGUAGCGCUGAAUACAUUUGGCUAAUUCUCGUUUUGAUAUUUCACCUGAUUAUAAAUUAUGAUUUUAAAUAAUGUGUUUUUCUUGUGUUCUAGUUUUCUUUUUUGUCUAGAUCUUGAAUUUUUCACAAUCGGAAAAAGCUACGAUCUUGAAUCUAUCAAAGAUCAAACAGCUCUAUCCGAAUCCAAUUAUUCUCUGCCAUCUCUUUCUACGGUCAAUUUUUGUAAAAACCAUAGCGAAUGCUUAUGGGAAAGUCUUCUUUGCAUGUCUGAGGAUUGGGUUAAUUACAUCUACCUCCCCUGAGAUUUGGGCAAACUAUGAAUUAGUCCCUAACAUUUGGCCAAAUUACAAAACAGACCUUCAAACUCACGAAUCUAUAACAGCUACCCCCUUGUCGUUAGUCAGAAGACGUUUGACCAUUCAUUUGUAUGACCUCAACAAAUGGUAUGUAGUGAAGGUAACAAAGUACCCACUAUUAAAACUCAUCUUUUCUUUUGUUCUUUUAUUUUUUGUCUUCUACUGCCUUUGUAUUGUCGCCGGAAAAAAAAAUUUCAACUAUAACAGGGGAAGCACAAAUGGUCGCCGGCAACCAUGGCAGCCUGCCUCCACCACUUUCAAUAACUAAGGUUAGUGAUGUUAUCCGUCUAACUUGUAUUUUGUCUAGAAAUCUAUUUUCAUCAUGAAAAUUGGCAAAAAUUGAUCAAAGAACAACCACAUAGAAUGAAAACCGUGGUUGUUCCUACUCUUCAUCUUACUGAAUAACAAUUAAAAAUUACAAAAUUCAUACCAAAAUGAUCAUGAGAAGAAUAUGGGUAUUAGAAAAAAAAAAUCAUUGAAUAGUUACACCAAUUUCUAUUUAUCAUCUUAAACUCAAACCUUAGGAAAAAUCUAAUUAACAAGUUUUAUGCUCUUCAAAACUUUUCUCGAGAACUUGAAUUUUAAGGCAUCUAAAUCUUUCACGUUAUGAUUUGGUAGAGGAAUCAAAGAUGGGAAGAUGAUAUCAAUUGAGAGGACUUGGGUCAUAGGAAAUUUGAUUUGGGUUGUGGACGAAGAUAGAGGAGAACUAAGGAAGCAAAGAGGAAAAAGGAACACCAGUGGAUGGAAAGGACUAAUUGGAGAGCACAGUUCAGGGAUGAGGAGAGGAGACAUGUGGAAAAGGAAGAGGAGGAUAGUGGUAAAGGAUUUUGGCAGGGAAAAAUCUAAUUAACAAGUUUUAUGCUCUUCAAAACUUUUCUUGAGAACUUGAAUUUUAAGGCAUCUAAAUCUUUCACGUUAUGAUUUGGUAGAGGAAUCAAAGAUGGGAAGAUGAUAUCAAUUGAGAGGACUUGGGUCAUAGGAAAUUUGAUUUGGGUUGUGGACAAAGAUAGAGGAGAACUAAGGAAGCAAAGAGGAAAAAGGAACACCAGUGGAUGGAAAGGACUAAUUGGAGAGCACAGUUCAGGGAUGAGGAGAGGAGACAUGUGGAAAAGGAGGAGGAGGAUGGUGGUAAAAGGAUUCUGGCAGAUUUGGGUUUUCUUUUCAUUUUUCUUUGUGAGUACAAAUUGAUAACUAAACUAGCAUUGUGUAUUGGUUUUCUCCUAAAUUUUUUUCUUUAUAUUUUACUUUUUCUAAUUUUUUAUUGUUUUCUUUGUUCAAAUUUUUUACUCCUAUUUUUUAUUUUCUUUUAUUUUUUAAAUCAUUUUUAACCCUUUAAUAACGAGGGCAUUCAUAUCAUUUUAUUACUACUGUUAGUUGGAUUCUAACGCUAUUAAUGAUAAGGAAGUUAUUGUAAUUUGGUCUAACCUCGGGGAUUGAUGUACAGUUUGGACAAACCUCAAGGGAUGUAAAUGUAAUUAACCCCUAAAGAUUAGAUGAUAAAAUGAAAAUGGUGGAGCUGUUAAAGGGCACAAUUGGUAAUGUAAAAGAAGUGAACAAAUUAAAUCAUGAAGGAUAGAGCUUGCAUCGUAGGAAAAACAUGGGAUUUGUACCAUGGAAACUAUAACAGUUCGAUUUUUUUUCUCCCACAGUUGUUCAAAAAAUUUAGCAUAAUUUGUAUGAUUGAAGAAAACAAAAGAUUUAAAGAGGCAAACAAAGAAAAGGAUUGAAGAUUGCCAAGGAAAAGGAAUUAUUUGAAGAGUCUUAACGAUACCAUUAAGGAUAAAUUUAAGGAUACCGAGCAGGUGUAAUCGUGUUUUGUCCAAUUUUAUUUGUACGGUAUAAAUCAUACAAAAUUUAAUGUAAACUUACAUGACUUUCGUGUAGUUAUUGGUGCCGUUGAUGUAUGUAGAUUAGCUCUAUAGCACAUACAUGAAAUCUUGUAAUAAAUAUACAAAAUAGAGUCUUAUAACAAAUAUACAAAAUCUUGUAAGAAUUACGCUAACGGGAUAAAAUUGAAUAAAGCUUAACUAUACUUGUACCCUUGCAAAAUUUUUAUGUUGUGUGAACGCACUUGGUUGGUUUGACCUGCUGGCAAAUACCUAAAUGAACUCUUGUCCAAGAAAAACCUUUCCGACGCCUCUAGUUGUUACUAGAUACUACAUUAUAGACUCAUCACUUGCGGAAAAGUUGGGAGGAAUUUUUUUUUUUGGUCAAGGUCAAGACUUAACAAAAGGCCUUUAUGGGAUAGAAGAAUCAUUUUACGUCCAAAACGGGACACAUAAAAGUCUAUCAAGACCAAGACUUAUAAAAAAGACGUACACUAUACUGUACACUUACAAUACAUAUUUUAAAAAUAAAUUAAUUAGUUAAAUACUUGCUAAAUCAAGCAAUUUUGUCAAGACCAACAUUGUAAACAGCUGUAGACUAGUAGUAAUAUGAACAUCAAACUUAAAAGUUUUGAAAUUUCACAAGAUGCGACAAGUGAAAAUUGUGCAAAGUGACAUGAAAGCAAGAUUCUAGAUCAAAAUAGUUGUUACUUAAUUUAAAUUCGCAGAUUCAUUCAUCCAAACAAAAAUUUUCACAGAUUCAAAUUGAAAAUCUGAAUGAUAAAAAGACAAUAACAUAAAUUAGCCAAAAUCACUAGCGCAAAUUCCACUGUUCAUUUAAAAAAACUUACUAUUAUAAUUGCAAAGUUCACCUUGCCUUUCCUAGUUGUUACCACUUUUUUGGUAAAUCAUAUUAAUUUUUUGAACAAACUUUCUACUUCAUUAGCUAAGCACUGCAAUUCAGUUUGGUAAACCCUACUACUUUUCCAACAAAUGAGAUUCAAAAUUUGGAAACUAAAUUUUAUUUUUUUAUCAUCUCCGAACAAUUUAGUAUUAGUUCAUACAAAUUUUGGUCAAUUUCAGAGAAUGGUCAUAAAUUGAUAGAAAUUCAAACAGGUAUUUCUAGGAAGUAAUGUUACAGUUUCUUUUAAAAUAGGAUUAUAUAUCAUUUGGUAGCUAACGUGAUGUCCCGUUGACAUUCGAUGCACUUCUACGGCCUUUCUUAGGUAUUGCAAUUAAUUAGGGUUGGCACUUGAAACCUAAAAGAGCCUAAUCAACAAGGUUGAAAACAAACAAUUCGUUAAAAUGAGAACAAAAAGCUCCAAACCACACAACGCGCAGAUGUUACUUUGGAGUUUUGGAGGGACUAUUUCAUUGAAAGAGGAUUGAAGAUUGAGGAAAUGGAUAAUUAAGUGGCCUUUGUGGAUAUUUCCACAGUGGCCUCAUCAUGGACAUCAAAAACGUGUUCCAUGUUGGUCCUUCUCAUUCUUUUACACGUACUAAGAUAAACGUAAUCCUUGGCAAAAUUCACACCGUCGUUAGUUUAUCCUUCUAGUUGAAGGGCACAAAAUGUACCAAUCAUAGUAGUAGCUCCGACAAUGACAUUAGGUAACAUCAAUUGCUCAAUAUCCGUGAAUGCAAUGUUAAGUUAAAACUUAGAUUUUAUUUUUUUUUUGUCAAAUAAAACUUAGAGUUUAGUUAUGACUACACUGAACUGCUAAACCAUCAUCAGGUCACAACGUUGCCACUCCAAUUAUACCCAAAAGAUCAUCAUGGUAACUUGCAAUCAAUUUGAAUCACACACCAUUCUCGAUAUAACUAAAUCAUGGAAUAUUUUGAACCAUAAUUCACACUUCUAGAUCCUAAACAUUGAUAAAUUACAAGUAUGAUAGGCUUAUUUGUUACCUACACUUGCGACUAUUUUUAGGAGAAUAAGAAAUUCCAUAGGCCCAUUGAUCAAGGAAGUUCGUUUAAAUAUAUCACCAUGAAUCUUGUGAAAUAACAUAUUUCCAGUAUACACAAUCCGACUAGUUAGUUGAAUAUAUCAAAUAUUAAUUGAUAUGAAUCAAUCAUCAUAAAUGCCAAACAAUCAUAUGAAGACACCAAUCAAUCAUGUCAGUUACCUUAUGUCCAAAAAGAUUGAAUCAAUAGUUAGUUAUAUUUUCCAUAAAAAAAAAAAAACAAGCCUUCUUGUCAGUUAUGUUUUCCACGAGUAUCUUGUCAGGAAAACAAACCAUAAAUGGAGGAAUCUUGUAGACCUCAGAAGAAUGUUAGAGACGAGGUUUUUCCUUUGCACUAAAUUUUAAAAAUCUAAAUAUUCUAUUUUUUACAAGUAUACAGAUUGUUUAUCAAGAAUAGGACAUAUUAGGUAUCGAUCUCACAGGCAAGAUUGUCAAUUAUUGAUGAUUUUCAAGCUUCUUUAUUAUUUAAGUUAUCACAAAUACAAGAAAAUAAAUCUACUUUACAAUCAUGAAAUAAAAGGAGUAAAAAUAGCAAUAGAAAGCUUCUGGGGCUAUGGCAUUCCUAACUAGGGUGAUGAUAUCUCUAGAACUUACUCCUUCGAAAGACUCCUCAAUGUGAAUCAUUCAUGCUCAUCUCUUGAUGUUCAACCUUAGUUUCAAAGAUACAAUCAUGUAAAAUGGACAUUUCGUCAUUGGAACACAAAUUAGAUUCAUCAUUUUGAUCAAAAUGCAAUCCACUUUCACAUACAACAUUCCCACCAUUCACAAUAGGAUCAACUUACAUAUUAUUAGAAGAUAAAACUUCACAUAAGGCAUGCAAUUGGUCUUAAAUUCUACCAAAUUGAGAAGCUAAUUCAUCUAAUAUAUUGUCAACCCUAUCAAAUUGGUCAGAAGUCAUAUUAGCUAACCUUUCAAUUGCUAAUUUCCAAGACAAAAGUGCAUUAACUAACCUUUUAAUUGCUAACUUCCAAAAUGGCUUUGAUUCAAGUUGGACAAAUUCGAAUUGGUAAUUAUAAAAAUACAGAGGAGCAUUAUAUCCAUACUGAUUAUUUCAACUAUAAACAUAAGAAUUAUCCCAAUUAGGAUCAUAUUGAUCAAAACAAUGAUUGAAAGGCUCAAAUUCAUCAUAAUAAUCUACAUUUUGUGCGUAUCUACAUGUACGAGUAGCAUGAUAAUCAUCACACAAGUGACAAAUCACAUAAUUAGAAUUAAAAAUAUUAAAAUUUUUCUUUCUUUUUUUCUUUUUUUUUUAUUUGGCUAACCCCAUGCACGGGGAGGGACGCCACCCCUGAGUAUUAUUAAUAAAAACCACAAAAGACACAUACAAUGCCAAUCAAUCGAGCACAACCCUACUGCGUAUUACAGGAAUUCCUGCUCUAUCCAAACCCACGGCCCCACUAGCGGGUCUUGGUAACUCCGAAUGGGAGGUAUACAUGCCACUCAACAACCCUUGCGCCCCCACCUUAGACAAGAUGUUCGCCACCUGGUUUGCUUCUCGAAAACAAUGACCCACAGUCCAAUCCGAACCCAACAUUGAUUGGAUUGCCUCUACAUCAGAGCGAAUCAGCCAUGGACAUCUCGACUUGCCAGGGAGAACAUUUACUAAUCAACAUUUACUAAUGAACACCCACAGUCCACCUCCACCUGUACCCUGGAGACACCCCGUAACAGGCACUGCUGCACCCCAUAUAGCAACGACUUGGUUUCAGCUUGCAAACUUGUCGUCUAACCGAGGAGAAUGGAAAAACCAAAUAGCAAAUCACCAGAGGAGUCCCGAAGGACACCACACCCUCCACUAGGCCCUGGGUUACCUAAUGAACAUCCAUCCGUAUUUAACUUGUAGAUCCCCUGAAACGGCAAUUCCCAAUAGACCACCCUAUGGGAGUAUCGAGGCCUCCAUCCAUACAUACUAGAGUAAAAAGCAUGCCAGGAAACUGACAGGUUGUCAGCCUGUGCAAUAAUAAAACCUGCUUAAAUUAAAAGUAAUUUCUGUAGAUAGCGGUGAGCAGGGUCGAAUCCACAGGGAUUGGGGGUAAUUAUUUCUUUUCAAAUUCACAGUGACAAGGGGGUGUUUUUAUAUCAGGGGUGACAAUUUAAACAAUUCAACUAAAAGUAAAAUAAUAAAAAUAAAAUAGCCAACUAGAAAUUAAAUAACAAUUUACUAAAAUCUAAUGAGUGAUAAUUAAGGAUCAAGCCAAGGAAUAACUUCAGCAAUGGUUCACCUAAUUGAUCAUCGAAGCAAAGGCAAUUCCAAUUAUUUAUUAAUAAAUAGGUUAUAACUGUCAAACAAGCGAUGACAGUCAACCCCUCCUUACUAUAUCGGUGAUCAAGUUACACCUGUUAAUCACUUUUUUAAUUGGAAAACAAUCUUAGGUACGCCCGUAAGAUUUAAUUCCCCAAUUGCCUUACGUAUUAGAGGAGCCCUAUUCUAACCAAAUAACGCACUACCAGGGUUAUUUCAGAUUAGCCUGCAUAUCCUCCUGACACAAACCAAAUCAUGCCAGUUGUCACUAUUUCAAGGCAAUUAAACAAUUACAAAUUUAAUACCCUAAUUGACAAUAGAUUACCGAAUCAAUUAAUUAUCCGGAUCCAAAAUAAUCAAUUAAUUAAAUAACCAUAAGCAUAGCAAUCAAGAAAUAUGCGAAUACCAAUAAUUAAAAGGAAAAGAUUAAAUUAAAUCGAUCUCACAAUUUUAGGCGAAUCAAAGCCUCCGUUGUCCCUUGACUAGAGGGAAAAAAUUAGUUCAUAUUUGAUACUAAAAACCCACGCAAAGGUGUAGAAAAACCUGCGGCCAUUAUCCUUGAUCGAAAGAGUUCACUCCGUUCGAACAAAAGGAUGAAUAGCAGGUCUUCUGAGAAUGACUAAUUGGCUAAUUGAGUAAUACUUGUCUUGACAUACGGAGAAAUAAGAGCUACUUGAGCCCACAAGAAAAAGUCAAAAGAAGCUAAGCUAAAAGAGACACAAUCAAAAGCUAAGCUAAAGGUAGUGCUUGCCCUCUGCACAAUUUUCCUAUCUAAAAGUCAUGCUACUUGCGGCGGCUCCUGUGUGUGGAGAGGAAGAAGCCUCUCGACGACUGCCCAGGUUUGCUUUCUUUUCCCCUUUUUUAGUUGCUGUCUUCGGUCAAAAUUACCAAAAAGGUCUUGCAUCUCCUUGUUCCAAGAAUGCCCUUGAUUGCCUGCUAUUUGAACUCUUUCCUGAUAACUGUUAAAUUGGUACUUAUUAUGGUAUUUUCGUUCUACUCCCUGAAAUAUAUGCCAAAUACUAAAAGUGAGCAGAAUCCAGCAAUUAAUCCACAUUGGGUCAGGUAAUAGGGAAAAUUAAUAAUAAAAUAAAUGAUAAAAUUGCAACCUAUCAAUUCCCCCCACACCUAAACCAUGCUUGCCCUCAAGCAUGAGAACAACAAACAAAUACCAAUAUUUGAUAGUGGCUACUGCUCUAUCCACCAAAUUGCCAAGAUACCAAGAAAAAUAAUAAUCAAGCAUCGAUGGUCAAGUCCAAGAAACAUCACUCUGGUUAGCUUCUAAACAAUAAACUCUUCCAAUUUCAGGUUAACUAAUCUAAGAAAAAGGAGUGGUCGCUCAACAUUUAUCAGCGAAUGGUCCAACUAUUAACCAAAAUCUCAACAUUAAAUCCAUAAAUCGGCAAGCUGACUUUUAUCACACAUUAACACAACCAUUACAUUUUUUCCAUAUUUUUCUUUUUUUUUUCUCCUUUUUUUUUCAAUAGUAACACAAGACUUAGUCUUAUAGCCAUGGGAGCCUUUUGACGCGAACUCCAACAUUUGCCAGAUGAAGGAGUCUAGUUACUCAACUCCUAUCGCUAUACGACCACGUACUCAUAGAAAUUACUACUUUUUGACGCGAGAAUCGACACUUUUGGUGAAGAUCCCCGGUUACUCAGUAAUAAAAACUAGCUGAGUACAGCCAACUCUUAUUCUCAACUAAAUAACACAAAAACUCAAUAUAACACAAAAAUCAAAAGAAAAUUUGCAUCAGCUAUCCUCAUUUUCAAAUAUGGAGAACUAAGGUUAAUAACUGGACCAAUUCACAUGAAAAUGCCAACAAUCAUUCCCUAUGCCUAGGAAAGUUGACCAAAAGUUAAAAGAGUAAAACAAUCGCUGAUAUUCACCAAAGAGAUAUUCUUGGACUCAACCACAUUAACUUGAUACACUUUUAUUAUUAAAACUUGGCAAUAGCAGAAUUAGAGUCAACAAUCCAACAUCAAACUUUGGUAUUCAUUAAAAAAAAAGUAAACGAAGACUAGACAAAUGACAAACUAGCAAUAAAAGAAGGACAUCUGAAAACUAAAAACUGGUAUAGCUGUCCCUCCCCCCACACCUAGAUCCUACAUUGUCCUCAAUGGAGGAAAUAAAAUAAUUAAAGCGAAGAGGAUAACGAAACUUCCCCCUCGAGUGGUUAAGGGGUAUUUGGUAGCUACGGAGGGAAACCAACAUGGUGAAGGUACGAGGCCACGUUCUGAGACAUCCUUGCCCCUUGGCGGGCAAUGUUCGUCAUUCGCUCAUCUACGUUGUGAACCUGUGCUUGUAAGUGGCGCCACUCACCAUUUUCGCCAAUUAUCAUUCCAAACAACCAAAGACAGAAUAUCCAACAAAGAUAGCAAUCACAAAUGCACAUUCAUAGUCACUGGUGUUCCCCAACUCAACAAUCAAAAGCAAACAUGGGCCACCCAAGCCCAAAUAUGGUCAACAAAGCAACAGUUGCACUCCAAAAUCAAAAACCAGAAACUAUUAUCAAUAACUGGAAACUAGCAAAGUCACGUCAAUAAGCACAGGAACUACCCAAUUUAGUCAGUCAACAAGCAAACUUGGGACAUCCACAAUAUCAACAAAUGCACUCUAAGAUUGUAACAAAUGCCCCCAUCAGUCAAACCAUAACAAUUGCCCCAAUAAUAUGCCAAAUUCAGCAAUAGAGGUUCAAGAAUUUAGUAAUAGUAACACAAUCACAAGCCCUUGGCUAUCAGCCAAAUAUCCAAACAAAUACAGUGAGCAGAUUCAAGGAAAAACAGUCCAACCAGUACCACUGGUGAAAAAUUAAGUGUACCACUUCACCACCCGAAAUCGUAGCAAAAACCCCAAGAAGCCAACAAUUCAAGCAAUAAUAAUUCCGUAAGUUAACAGUAGCACCACAGAAAUUAGCAAUGGAAGACGACAGUCAAGGCACGCCCAAUAGUUCACUAGAAAGCGAAGAAAUCCACUAAUAAUGUCGCACCGAACCCAAAAGGCACUGAUGUCCCACAAUUGGAACAAAUAAAGAUAACCCAAACACCAGUGCAACCCCAGAUACUGGAACUCAAUUUAACAAGAUAAUGUGGCCAUGGAGGCUUCAAUUGAGUCUAACAAUUAAAUCCCAGAAAGGAUGCUCCAAAUAAUUGGGUAUAAGUUCGAGAGGGGUAAAUACCUCCGCCGCGAAUAGUGGCCAAACAAAAUCUCUGGUAGAGGCUAAAGGCGACGUAGCGAAGUGGGCAGAGGAGGUGGCGCGUUGCCCGAGGGUCAAGAGGGGAAGAGAGGCCGCAGUUGUGGCGGCGUGCUCCUUCGAGUGGCGGUGGUCACGGGUGUGUUAGUGGAGGGCUGCGUCUGGUUGCUGAGGAGAUAUCAAACGCACAAGCUCAAAACGAGAGAGGCAAAGGGCGAGCUGCUCCUGGGGUAGUGGAGGCGUCGCCUGUGGAUCGAGGACGUGGGCUGGGCUCGCGGUAGGAGGCAGCGGCAUGUGGUGGAUUUUCAGUGGCUGUCGCGGGCUAGGGAGACGGUGGCGAUGGAGGAGAGCAGCGACGGCGCUGGCUGCACCGUGGGCUGCAGGCUGAUGUCGUACGAGGAGAAGCUGGGGUCGCGGCUACUGGCAGCGCUGUUGGCGAUGCGGUGGCCAGGGAUGGAGAGAUGCACGUGGAGAGCUCUUUCCCGCGAACGUGACGCGGGCACGUCAUGAAAGCACGGAAUGAGGAGCUCUCCAGGUGACUUGAUGCGGGCACGUCAUGAGGACAAAAACCUUUUCUGACGAAUCUGACCAUGAGCUUUCCAGGUGACUUGAUGCGGGCACGUCAUGAGGACAAGAACCCCUUCUGACGAAUCUGACCAUGAUCUCUUCAUGGGACUUGACGCGGGCACGUCAUGAGGAUCGAAACCCUUUCUGACGAAUCUGACCAUGAGCUCUUCAUGGGACUUGACGCGGGCAUGUCAUAAGGAUCGAAAUCCUUUUUACUAAGUACCAGAAAAUCGCAAUGUGCCUCGCGCCCAGUUGACGCGAGCACGUCAUGUCAAAGGGAUGCCUAUGAAUCAUCAAAAACGAAAAUUGAAACCAUAAAUCAGUCAAAUCCAAGGAAAAACAUAUUUAAACUAACAAACAAAAAUGAACAAACAACUAAAAGGAAUUGGGUUGCCUCCCAAUGAGCGCCUUUCUUUAAUGUCUUUGGCUAGACAUCAUCAUAAUUUGUUCAUGGAGGAUAAAAUCUUGUGGCUCGUCUUAAUGCUUCAUCCUCUAUAUAGUCCUGAUAGCCCUUGUAAAUAGAAUAAUCCUUGAGCACACGAGUUACGGGCUUCCAUGGACUAGUAAAUGGCGCCAAACAAGUCAACGAUAAUUUGCAUUCUCCACUCACUCCUCCAUCACUUGCAUUUAUUGGUUCAAGAUAUCUUGAUAUCGCCACUCUUAAUUUAUUCCUGUCAUGAAAUUCAAAAUUUUCUGGUAUAAUAAAGUCAAUUUCAUUAACAGAAAUUGAAGAAUAAGAGUCAAGAGAAUAUUGAUUAAGGAAUGGAGCAGAUGUCACCGCAUUUGGAGAUUGUUCACUGGAUUCAUUCACUUGGACGCAUUGAUAUUGGGGUCUCAUUUCUUGCACUUCACUUUCCUUUUCAACUGCAUCUUUAGAUCCAUUUUCUUGAAACUUUUGCAGUCCCAUGUCAUUUGACCGGAUAAUUGCACUCUCAUCUUCUUCAAGGUUGAUAUUGGUUUGUGAGGGCAAUUUUUCAAGGUGAGAAGCUAAUCGCGCUAUCCUGGAUGUCAAUUGAUUCAUUUGAUCCGCCAUCGCUUGUAACUCCUGUUGAGAUCGAUAUGAAUUAGCAGUUAGUAAUUCUAUCAUUUCUUCAAGAGACAUACCUGACACGGAAGAUGAUUGCUGAGACUCUUGCUGUUGGAAAUCCAUUGGCCCGGUCGCAUAAUUAAAAUUGAAAUUAUCCCACCAUCCUUGAUCAUACCUGUUUGGAUAAGGGUCAUACCACGUUUGAAAUCGAGGUGGAAAAUCUCCAAAAGUAUAAAUUGGAGCACUUAGAUUCUCUUAAAAUGCAGGGCAUGUGUCGGUUGAAUAACUUGAGACAAAAUAAGUUCCACAAUUUGCAACACCCUAUUGAUCAUUAGGAAAAACACGAGUCUCAUAACCCCAUUCAGGAAUAAAGUCCAGUCUAUCAUCAAAAUACGGAAUGUUAGCAGCCAUAAACUAUAUAAAAAAAAGAGAGAAAAAUAAAUAAAAAAAAUAAAAACAAAAUGAACUCAAAAAGAAACAAAUUAAUCAGGCACCAGUCCCCGGCAACGGCGCCAAAAAUUGACAGGUUGUCAGCCUGUGCAAUAAUAAAACCUGCUUAAACUAAAAGUAAUUUCUGUAGAUAGCGGUGAGUAGGGUCGAAUCCACAGGGAUUGGGGGUAAUUAUUUCUUUUCAAAUUCACAGUGACAAGGGGGUGUUUUUAUAUCAGGGGUGACAAUUUAAAUAAUUUAACUAAAAGUAAAAUAAUAAAAAUAAAAUAGCCAACUAGAAAUUAAAUAACAAUUUACUAAAAUUUAAUGAGUGAUAAUUAAGGAUCUAACCAAGGAAUAACUUCAGCAAUGGUUCACCUAAUUGAUCAGCGAAGCAAAGGCAAUUCCAAUUAUUUAUCAAUAAAUAAGUUAUAACUGCCAAACAAGCGAUGACAGUCAACCCCUCCUUACUGUAUCGGUGAUCAAGGUACGCCCGUUAAUCACUUCUCUAAUUGGAAAACAAUCCUAGGUACGCCCGUAAGAUUUAAUUCCCCAAUUGCCUUACGUAUUAGAGGAGCCCUAUUCUAACCAAAUAACGCACUACCAGGGUUAUUUCAGAUUAGCCCGUAUAUUCCCCUGACACAAACCAAAUCAUGUCAGUUGUCACUAUUUCAAGGCAAUUAAACAAUUACGGAUUUAAUGCCCUAAUUGACAAUAGAUUACCAAAUCAAUUAAUUAUCCGGAUCCAAAAUAAUCAAUUAAUUAAAUAACCAUAAGCAUAGCAAUCAAGGAAUAUGCGAAUACCAAUAAUUAAAAGGAAAAGAUUAAAUUAAAUCGAUCUCAUAAUUUUAGGCGAACCAAAGCCUCCGUUGUCCCUUGACUAGAGUGAAAAAAUUAGUUCAUAUUUGAUGCUAAAAACCCACGCAAAGGUGUAGAAAAAGCUGCGGCCAUUAUCCUUAAUCGAAAGAGUUCACUCCGUUCGAACAAAAGGAUGAAUAGCAGGUCUUCUGAGAAUGACUAAUUGACUAAUUGAAUAAUACUUGUCUUGACAUACGGAGAAAUAAGAGCUACUUGAGCCCACAAGGAAAAGUCAAAAGAAGUUAAGCUAAAAGAGACACAAUCAAAAGCUAAGCUAAAGGUAGUGCUUGCCCUCUGCACAAUUUUCCUAUCUAAAAGUCAUGCUACUUGCGGCGGCUCCUACGUGCGGAGAGGAAGAAGCCUCUCGACGACUGCCCAGGUUUGCUUUCUUUUCCCCUUUUUUAGUUGCUGUCUUCGAUCAAAAUUACCAAAAAGGUCUUGCAUCUCCUUGUUCCAAGAAUGCCCUUGAUUGCCUGCUAUUUGAACUCUUUCCUGAUAACUAUCAAAUUGGCACUUAUUAUGGUAUUUUCGUUCUACUCUCUGAAAUAUAUGCCAAAUACUAAAAGUGAGUAGAAUCCAACAAUUAAUUCACAUCGGGUCGGAUAAUAGGGAAAAUUAAUAAUAAAAUAAAUGAUAAAAUUGCAACCUAUCAGAAACAAACCCAUCCGUGGAAUGUUGGUAACAUCACUUUGUUUCCUAAAAGGCUUGUUGGUAACCUACUAGCUGAAAUAAGGACUUCAAGCUAAUAGCCAUCACCAUUCUUGACAAUCAUAAUUAAUGGGUAUAAAUGAAGAUAUUAAACAUAAAUCAUGUUUAAGGAUGCAUCAUACCACAGAAACAAUCUUGCAUUCUCAGAAGUUAACAGGCUUCCCAUUUUCACAAUCUCUAUAUAGUAUGAAGUAGAACAGCAAAAAGGCAAGCUCUGAAUUAACAAUUCAAUUGCUCAGAAACUAUCAUAACUUAAAACUGAAAACAACCCAACCUUUAGGAGGAAUAGCACUUCAUCAUUCUUGAAAGAUCUCAGAUUAGAAAAAUUGCACUUAAAGAGGUGAACGCAGGGAAAAGUGUUCAGAAGAAAGGGCUGUGAUGCUUCCCGAAGGAGAGUAAAUCUUGUUUACAAACCCAGUUGAAGGAGAUUCAUAUGUAUGAGCAUCUUGCAAUUCUGCCAUUAUCCUCCAUACGUCUCCAGCUCCAUGAUAAGGACCUGCAACAAGAACAAACAUUGUUCCAGGAAGUAAAAUGACAUUAUAUCAGAAAAAAAAGGAAGAGUGAACAGAAAUAAUUGUAAGCAAUCAUCUAAAGAACGUUGUCCUCAUUGAGAAAUAUCAACGAACAACUAUGUUGCAUAGUCCCUCAAAUUGGGAUGUUACAAUAACAAAAAAACGAAAAGAAAUUUGAAUUGCAUUGACAUCAAAACAAUCUAGACUAAGCUAGCUGAUGAACAGUGAACUGAACAACAACUAUCCGAUUGCUCAAAAAGGGUUCAAAUUUUGCUAAAAUUAGUAUACUUGUGUAGUCAAUUCACAUAUGAAUUGCACGAACCAAUACAAACUUAUUAAAAAAAAAAACCUAGAAAUGUAAAUCACAACCUAGCUUAAAUAUACACUGAAAUUCGCUAUAUACAUGCGAAAAAUAAUCACAGUCAAAGAAGAGAUUUUUCCCACCAAGUAGAUUGCAUAGGGAUAAAUUGAAGAAGACUAAAAAAGAAAAAGCCUGAAACAUCCAUAGAUUGCACAUCAUUUCUUAUAAAUUCUAAAUUAUAGAUAGAAUAUGCAAAAAAAAGAGGUAAAAUAUGUUUUGAGGGACAAUGAAUCCUCUGCCACCAGCAACAACUUAAUUUCAACAGAAUCUAAAACUACCAUCUUAUUAAAUUGUUUCAUGAGUCACCAUCUAAUUAGCUGCAAAAUACUUCAGGGAAUAGUAGAAACUAAUUGUCAUAAACAUUAACUUACAUCUCUCAGUAGCAUAAUGUUGUUAGUGAAGCCAAUACAGUCAAAAAAUAUGAAGUCUCAGACACAAAUGCAAACAUGAAAAUAAAAAAGAGAAAAUAAUAAAAGUAAACAAAAGAAAUCAAGAUCAAACCAGCUGUAAAAGUGACUGUAUUUCUUUUUUCUUUACCCAAAGCCUCUAGCCACUCAGGCUAUAGAUGAUUCACCACCAUGAACAUCAAGCCUCAAACCUCACCACUAUAUAUUUUACCCUAUUAAAAUCACCCAUCUUGGAUGCUUUAAUUUGCACUACGAAGAGAGGUAAUUCAAAGAUAUCCAAUGCUUUAAUGUCCGGCUCAAAUGUAAUUUGGGGAUGGUAAGUAGAUGGCAAACCAAUUUCUAAGUUAAAUUCCAAAUUAAGAAUCAAAAUCCUAAAUUAAAUUUCACUGCACGUUUUUAUGAAAGAGAUAGAAAUUGAUUGAGAUUUGGGAGAACAUCUGGGAAGGCAACACAACUAAAGACGGAGAAUCAGUGAGAGAAGAAAAGGGAAAUGGGGGCAAACCUCGAUAAGCUUUCUCCGAUUGCUGUAGUAGAGAGGAGUGAGAAAUGCGAGGGGAGAGGACAAAGGAAGGUGGCAAUUUUGGAAAGAGGAAUUGUAGCAUCCUCCAUUGCAGCAUACUUUUCACACCGGCAUCGAUCUAUCCACAUAUAUCUCCUCAAAAGACACAUAUUUUCGCUUGAUUGGCAUUAUACAUAAACCAGAAUCGAGAAUUGAUUGAUAAAGAUAUAGGGAUGAAGCAUCAUGUUAGCAAUCAUCCACUGAUUAGGAUGCAAAGGAUACACUGAUUGGGAUGCAAAGUUCGCUACCAUUAAACAGGCGUACGGACUUAACUCAACCAGCAACAAGAGAGAAUAAAUUUGCAGAAGGAAGCAACGCAAAACAGGAGAAUGGAAAGUUUACCUAUUUUUCACAAUUCCAGCACUAUUAUACGAGGAUUCAACUUUGAUUCAGCCUACAGUAACAGAAAGUUACCUUCCAACGGCAGCAACAAAAGGUAGUCAGACAAAACAAAGUCCAACUAUUCCGCAGCCACACCACGCUCCUGCACAAUUAAGAGCAAGAUCAUAACCCAAUUAAAACAGACAUUAUAGAGGAGAAAUAAAAACUCUAAUCGAUAUGCAUACAACCACCGAAGCCACAAUAUAUUAAAAACACACCACCACAACUAAGCCACCAACGUUGAACCAGAAGAAAUCAAAAUCAACACAACAAACAAAAGCAGAACAAAUAGAAACCAAAAAUUUAAGGAGUCAAUUCAUUGCAGUCCAAUCUCACAGGGAACCAAAAAAAAAACCAAUAAAUAAGGUUGCUCUACGUCCACGCAUUGGAAACAAACUCAGUUCAAUUCAACCUGAAAAACGCAAGUGCAAAAGCUAAAUGGACUCCGUGCAAAAGCUAAAUGGACUCCUAUGGCAAAAUGGAGGAUCGAUCUGAAGUGAAAGAAAGAAAAUCAGGAGAAACUCCUGGGACCUUAAUGGGUGCCAAGAUGGCAGAACUACAAAAACGGAAGGAGAAACUCACGAAGGCUAAGGAUGAGGCGGUACAAUCGUGGUCAGAUUCCAGACCUGUGAUUGAUGAGCUUGACAAGCUACAGUCGGAACUUCCAGAUGCACAGAGUCGAACAGCCUCAUCCAACGUUACUAUUUCAGAGCUUGACUCUCAGCUUGAAAGGUUGAGUAUCUCUAUCAGGGCUAAGAAGGAGGAAGAACUGAAGAUCCAACAAUGAUCAACAGGAUAAAUCAGGUCUUGCAACAGACGCAGGAAGAGAUGGAGGAGUUCAAGAUGGAAAGAGAUGAAAAACACAGAACAGGAUUGAAACUAAAACGAGUUCUAUGUCUAAGGUGGCAGACUCUUCGCACUUUGCAACUCACCCUUCAAGCAAUACAAUUAGAAUCAGAAGCUUAUGUUGCAUCAGCUCAUGAAGCACAACGCUACAUCAGCCUUUUCCAGACAGAUGACACUCUGGUCAAGCUUACUCAAGAAGAGUACCAUGCAUUAACAAAAAGAGCAAGAGACGAAACUUCGUUGGCAGAAUGGCGAAUUGCAGUCUCUAUGGAACGAAAGCAGGCAGCCGAGGAAAGUCAAGAGACAGCUGCUAGAAGAUUGCAGAACUUGCAUUCAAAGAAUGGAUCAGGGAAAGGAAAACAUCCCGCUAAUGGGGUCUUAAAAGUUUAAAGAGCAAUUUUCUACAAUUAAUGGCAAUAUAAUUUGUAAUCGUAUUUGUGAGAGGAAAAUUUGAAGCUUGUGCUUUUGUUGUAUUAUAAAUUUAAUCACAACUUCUAACCAAAUUUAUUUUAACAACACAAAUAAAAAAUCGUACUUGGUUAAAUAUUGAAUUCCGCUAUAUAAGAUUUUUGUAAUACUAACAAUAGUUGUUCUUGUAAUGACAACUAACAAUGGAAUAUAUUAUUUUGUUCGCUAAAAAAUAUUAGCUGAUUAUAUACGUACAUAACACAUGAUUUUUUCUAGUAAUUCGAAGUGUUCUAGAGAUACCAUUAGGAAUAAAGUUUACGAAAUGUGGCAUGAGCAGCUGAGCUUUGUCCGAUCUUUUAGGUUGGUAUAGUUCUUUUUAUUGGUAAACCCUAUUAAUUCUUUUUAAACAAACUUACUGCUUCUUUAGCUAAAAACUACGAUACAUUUGGCAAAUUAUACUAGUUUCUCAGAAAAUUCUACUAGUUUCCCAUUUAAAUGAGAUUCACAAUCUGGAAAAUCAUUUUUAUUUUUUUAUAAUCUCCCCACAAUUUACAAUGAGUUCAGAGUGCUACUUUUGGUCAAUUUAGAAGAAUUUUCAUAAAGUCAUAAAAUAUCACUUAAGCAUUUUCAGAAGUAAUGUAACAUUCUUUUUAAAACGGCAUUCUAUGUCACUUGUCACCCGUUGCGAUGUUCCAAUGUCAUUAGAUGCAUUUCCAAGGCCAAGCUUAAAUAGUUAAAUUAAUUUAUGUUUCGUUUUUCUCAAGCCCUAAAUCUAAAUUUAAAAUAGCCUAAUCAACAAUAUAAAGCGAACAAUUUAGUAGAGCGAAAUGAAAAGAACUCUGAAACACAUAAUGUAGUCAUAAUCGGCGUUUUACAACGCCUUUUUUUCUUUUUUCAAUUUUUUCUUUUUUUUUUCGGUUUUUUGUUUUGACUUUGAUGUACCCCUAACUAUUACACAUAGAUAAAAAGGAAAGAGAGAAAUUUACUACAUAAGACCCUAUGCAGUAUGAAAAAACAAAGUAGACCCUGCACUGAAAACAUUAGAAGACACAACUACUGAUAAUCAUAGACUGAAUGGACACCAUUUUAUUUUGUUUUUCCUUUUUUUUCAAUUUUUUUUCUUUUACUGUGGUACCAAACGACUGAAGGAUGAUGGUAAUGAGUGCAUCCACCCUAAUUAGGGCGAAUUUCGAUGCCCCUGAUAAUAAUGCCAGACUUCCAGAUUGUAUCACUGGUUUCAAAAAUCCUAGCUUCUACCGUGGAACUUCUUCCGCGGUUGUUGACGAAGUCACCCAAGUUCAAUUCCUUCCAUCCAUCACUACGGGGUUGAGGAUGUAUGCCCGGAUCCUUCGAAUCUUGUGACUUAUCAAUUGACACGGUAUAGCCUUCAUUAUCAGUUCCCUUAGCCUUUUCCUCAGAAAAUCUUACCGAUGCAGUUGCUUUUUCAAGCCCCCUUGGCUUGGCACUAAGUUUGAACACGAGAUAUGUCGAAUAGGAACUGCCCCUUGGUAGGUCCCUAGCAGGCACACUGGCUCGAAUGUCAAACCAACAAACUUCAACAAGCUCGGCAACCUCGAAGCUGUACAAAGGCAUUAAAAUCAGUUUAGGAUAAUCUUCGAAAGUCAUCAACUAACUAAAGGGGGAAAGUGAGAUAAUAAUAUAAAUGGAAUAGGACUAUAUACAGGACGGGUACGUGUGAAGUUAGUUCAGGAGGUUUACCCAGAAGGUACAUCAGUGUGCCAUUUCCAAUAGCGUGGAUCAUUACCGUGAGAGAUCACUAGAUCCCUUGCGUUGAUGGUGUAAACCUGUGAUGGAAAAUCGAGCAUCGACAAGUUAAUUAAUCUUUUCAGGCAAAGUAACAAAAGACUGAUGAGUAGUUCCAGUAUUAAUGCAAACUAAGAACUACUGUUAUAGUUAUAUACCAUGUUGAAUAGAAGUAGCUCUGGAGUAGUGUUGGAAGGACUGUACGUUUUGUGGAAUGAGGGAUUGAAGAUUGCGGGAAUGGAUAUUUAUAGGCCUAUCUGAUUAACUGACGUUUGCAGAUAUUUCCAAUCUUACCUCAUCAGAGAUGUGUAAAAACGUGUUUCGUGCUGGUGUGAAGGUCAGAUGCUGAUGUGAAUGAGGGUGGCCUUUCACAAAACCACAAAUAUGAGUGUAUCAGAGUCCAAUUAUUCUCUGCCAUCUCUUUCUAUAGUCAAUUUUUGUAAAAACCAUAGCGAAUGCUUAUGGGAAAGUCUUCUUUGCAUGUCUAAAGAUUAGAUGAUAAAAUGAAAAUGGUAGAGCUGGUAAAUGGCACAAUUGGCAAUGUAAAAGAAGGAUAGAGCUUGCAUCAUAGGAAAAACAUUGGAUUUGUACCAUGGAAACUGUAGCAUUUCAAUUUUUUUUUCUCGCACACUUGUUCAAAAAAUUUAGCAUAAUUGAAGAAAACAAAAGAUAUAAAGAGGCAAACAAAGAAAAGGAUUGAAGAUUGCCAAGGAAAAUGAAUUAUUGGACGAGUCUUAAUGAUACCAUUAAGGAUAAAUUUAAGGAUAAGGAGCAGGUGUAAUUGUGUUUUGUCUAGUUUUAUUUGUAUGGUAUAAAUCAUACAAAAUUUAAUGUAAACUUACAUGACUUUCGUGUAGUUAUUGGUGCCGUUGAUGUAUGUAGAUUAGCUCUAUAGCACAUCCAUGAAAUCUUGUAAUAAAUAUACAAAAUAGAGUCUUAUAACAAAUAUACAAAAUCUUGUAAGAAUUACGCUAACAGGACAAAAUUGAAUAAAGCUUAACUAUACUUGUACCCUUGCAAAAUUUUUAUGUUGUGUGAACGCACUUGGUUGGUUUGACCUGCUGGCAAAUACCUAAAUGAACUCUUGUCCAAGAAAAACCUUUCCAACACCUCUAGUUGUUACUAUAUACUACACUAUGACCAUCACUUGUGGAAAAGUUGGGAGGGAUUUUUUUUUUGGUCAAGGUCAAGACUUAACAAAAGGCCUUUAUGGGAUAGAAGAAUCAUUUUACGUCCAAAACGGGACACAUAAAAGUCUAUCAAGACCAAGACUUAUAAAAAAGACGUACACUAUACUGUACACUUACAAUACAUAUUUCAAAAAUAAAUUAAUUAGUUAAAUACAUGCUCAAUCAAGCAAUUUUGUCAAGACCAACAUUGUAAACAGCUGCAGACUAGUAGUAAUAUGAACAUCAAACUUAAAAGUUUUGAAAUUUCACAAGAUGCGACAAGUGGAAAUUGUGCAAAGUGACAUGAAAGCAAGAUUCUAGAUCAAAAUAGUUGUUACUUAAUUUGAAUUCACAGAUUCAUUCAUCCAAAAAAAAAAAAAUUUUCACAGAUUCAAAUUGAAAAUCUGAAUGAUAAAAAGACAAUAACAUAAAUUAGCCAAAAUCACUAGCGCAAAUUUCACUGUUCAUUUAAAAAAACUUACUAUUAUAAUUGCAAAGUUCACCUUGUCUUUCCUAGUUGUUACCACUUUUUUGGUAAAUCAUAUUAAUUUUUUGAACAAACUUUCUACUUCAUUAUCUAAGCACUGCAAUUUAGUUUGGUAAACCCUACUACUUUUCCAACAAAUGAGAUUCAAAAUUUGGAAACUAAAAUUUAUUUUUUUAUCAUCUCCGAACAAUUUAGUAUUAGUUCAUAUAAAUUUUGGUCAAUUUCGGAGAAUUGUCAUAAAUUGAUAGAAAUUCAAACAGGAUUUCUUUUAAGAAGUAAUGUUACAAUUUCUUUUAAAAUAGGAUUAUAUAUCAUUUGACAUUCGAUGCACUUCUACAGCCUUUCUUAGGUAUUGCAAUUAAUUAGGGUUGGCACUUGAAACCUAAAAGAGCCUAAUCAACAAGGUUGAAAACAAACAAUUCGUUAAAAUGAGAACAAAAAGCUCCAAACCACACAACGCGCAGAUGUUACUUUGGAGUUUUGGAGGGACUAUUUCAUUGAAAGAGGAUUGAAGAUUGAGGAAAUGGAUAAUUAAGUGGCCUUUGUGGAUAUUUCCACAGUGGCCUCAUCAUGGACAUCAAAAACGUGUUCCAUGUUGGUCCUUCUCAUUCUUUUACACGUACUAAGAUAAACGUAAUCCUUGGCAAAAUUCACACCGUCGUUAGUUUAUCCUUCUAGUUGAAGGGCACAAAAUGUACCAAUCAUAGUAGUAGCUCCGACAAUGACAUUAGGUAACAUCAAUUGCUCAAUAUCCGUGAAUGCAAUGUUAAGUUAAAACUUAGAUUUUAUUUUUUUUUUUUGUCAAAUAAAACUUAGAGUUUAGUUAUGACUACACUGAACUGCUAAACCAUCAUCAGGUCACAACGUUGCCACUCCAAUUAUACCCAAAAGAUCAUCAUGGUAACUUGCAAUCAAUUUGAAUCACACACCAUUCUCGAUAUAACUAAAUCAUGGAAUAUUUUGAACCAUAAUUCACACUUCUAGAUCCUAAACAUUGAUAAAUUACAAGUAUGAUAGGCUUAUUUGUUACCUACACUUGCGACUAUUUCUAGGAGAAUAAGAAAUUCCAUAGGCCCAUUGAUCAAGGAAGUUCGUUUAAAUAUAUCACCAUGAAUCUUGUGAAAUAACAUAUAUUUCCAGUAGGGAAAAUCAUUCAAAAAGUCCCUCACAUUUUACAAAAUGACUUUUUUCGUCCCUUACUUUUAAAAAUGUACUUUUACAUCCCUUACAAAUUUAUAUUGAUUAAAUUUGGUUCCUAUCUAAGUUUCCGACUAGUUUUUUGUCGGAAUCCACCACGUGCCUUGCACGUAAUCAUUUUUUAAGAGCAAAAUUAUCAAAUCAAAAUUUACAUAAUUCAAUCCAUAGUCUCUCACAUUUCACAAAAUGAAUUAUUUUGUUCCUCACAUUUCACAAAAUGAAUUGUUUCGUCCCUCACAUUUCACAAAAAUGAAUUUUUUCAUCCCUCAUAUAUUACAAAAUAAAUUUUUUCAUUUCUCAUUGUUCAUGUGUAUGAAUAACUUUUUUUAAACUAAUUUAUAUAUCUAUUUGAUCUCACAUGGACAAUACAAAUAGCAUGUAAUAUAUCUCUAUUUAAUUUUCGAUUCAACAUACUGUUUAUGUGAAAUUAAAAUAGAUAUAUAUAUAGGGGUUUAAAAAAAUUGUUAGUUUUUCACUCAUGUUCAUUCCUUUUACUUGAAAAUUGAAAACAAAGAAGACAUUUAAUUCUAAACAUUAUCAAGUGUUUAUAUUGAAUUAAAUUUAGACAGAAAAAAUAAACAAAGGAAAAGUAUCACAAAAAGAAGUAAGUAAUUGACACUUUCAAAUUUUAAAAUAAUCAUAAGGUAAGAAAUUCAAUUGUUGGACUUAAAGGUAGUGAGUAAAAAUUUCAGAUUUAAAUUAUAAUUUGUUAGCAUGACUAUAGAAUUCGAAUUAACACCGAUUAAUUAGAUACUCUUAUUAAACAACUCAAUAAAUGAAUUAUUACUAAAAUAGAAAAGAUUACAAAUAUUGAAUAGAUUCACAUGGUGAAAUCACACACACACACACACACACACACACAUAUAUAUAGGUUUAAAACAAAAUUAUUAGAUUUAAACCCAUGUACAUAUUGAUCUGUUUAGGUGAAAUCAAAUAGAGAUAUAUUAUAUAUUAUUUGUACUGUUUAGAUAAAAUCAAAUAUAUAUAUUCAUGAAUUUUAAAAAAUAAAAACUAUUUGUACACAUGGUCAAUGAGAGAUAAAAAAAUUCAUUUUGAGAAAUCUGAGGGAUGAAAAAAUUUAUUUUGUGAAAUGUAAGGGACGAAACGAUUCAUUUUGUGAAAUGUAAGGGACUAUAGAUGGAUUACAUAAAUUUUGAUUUGACAAUUUUGCCCCUAAAAAAUGAUCACAUGCAAGUCAUGUGAUGAAUUCCGGCCAAAAACUAGUCGGAAACCUAGAUAGGGACCAAAUUUGACCAACGUGAAUUUGUAAGGGACGUAAAAGUACACUUUUAAAAGUAAGGGACGAAAAAAGUCGUUUUACAAAAUGUGAGGGACGUUUUGAACGAUUUUCCCUUUCCAGUAUACACAAUCCGACUAGUUAGUUGAAUAUAUCAAAUAUUAAUUGAUAUGAAUCAAUCAUCAUAAAUGCCAAACAAUCAUCUCAUGUCAGUUACCUUAUGCCCAAAAAGAUUGAAUCAAUAGUUAGUUAUAUUUUCCAUAAAAAAAAAAAAAACAAGCCUUAUUGUCAGUUAUGUUUUCCACGAGUAUCUUGUCAGGAAAACAAACCAUAAAUGGAGGAAUCUUGUAGACCUCAGAAGAAUGUUAGAGACGAGGUUUUUCCUUUGCACUAAAUUUUAAAAAUCUAAAUAUUCUAUUUUUUGCAAGUAUACAGAUUGUUUAUCAAGAAUAGGAUAUAUUAGGUAUCGAUCUCACAUGCAAGAUUGUCAAUUACUGAUGAUUUUCAAACUUCUUUAUUAUUUAAGUUAUCACAAAUACAAGAAAAUAAAUCUACUUUACAAACAUGAAAUAAAAGGAGUAAAAAUAGCAAUAGAAAGCUUCUAGGGCUAUGGCAUUCCUAACUAGGGUGAUGAUAUCUCUGGAACUUACUCCUUCGAAAGACUCCUCAAGAGGGGUUAAAUGUGAAUCAUUCAUGCUCAUCUCUUGAUGUUCAACCUUAGUUUCAAAGAUACAAUCACGUAAAAUGGACAUUUCGUCAUUGGAACACAAAUUAGAUUUAUCAUUUUGAUCAACAUGCAAUCCACUUUCACAUACAACAUUCCCACCAUUCACAAUAGGAUCAACUUACAUAUUAUUAGAAGAUAUAACUUCACACAAGGCAUGCAAUUGGUCUUAAAUUCUACCAAAUUGAGAAGCUAAUUCAUCUAAUAUAUUCUCAACCCUAUCAAAAUGGUCAGAAGUCGUAUUAGCUAAACUUUCAAUUGCUAAUUUCCAAGACAAAAGUGCAUUAACUAACCUUUCAAUUGCUAACUUCCAAAAUGGCUUUGAUUCAAGUUGGACAAAUUCGAAUUGGUAAUUAUAAAAAUACAGAGGAGCAUUAUAUCCACAUUGAUUAUCUCAACUAUAAACAUAAGAAUUAUCCCAAUUAGGAUCAUAUUAAUCAAAACAAGGAUUGAAAGGCUCAAAUUCAUCAUAAUAAUCUACAUUUUGUGCGUGUCUACAUGUAUGAGUAGCAUGAUAAUCGCCACACAAGUUACAAAUCACAUGAUUAGAAUUAAAAAUAUUAACAUUUUUCUUUCUUUAUUUUUCUUUUUUUUAUUUGGCUAACCCCAUGCAUGGGGAGGGACGCCACCCCUGAGUAUUAUUAAUAAAAACCACAAAAGACACAUACAAUGCCAAUCAAUCGCACACAACCCUAUUGCGUAUUACAGGAAUUCCUGCUCUAUCCAAACCCAUGGCCCCCCUAGCGGGUCUUGGUAACUCCGAAUGAGAGGUAUACAUGCCACUCAAUGACCCUUGCGCCUCCACCUUAGACAAGAUGUCCGCCACCUGGUUUGCUUCUCGAAAACAAUGACCCACAAUCCAAUCCGAACCCAACAUUGACUGGAUUGCCUCUACAUCAGAGCGAAUCAGCCAUGGACAUCUCGACUUGCCAGGGAGAACAUUUAUUAAUAGUAGAGAGUCCACCUCCACCUGUAUCCCAGAGACACCCCGUAAAAGGCACUGCUGCACCCCAUAUAGCAACGACUUGGUUUCAGCUUGCAAACUUGUCAUCUACCCGAGGGGAAUGGAAAAACCAAAUAGCAAAUCACCAGAGGAGUCCUGAAGGACACCACCCCCUCCACUAGGCCCUGGGUUACCUAAUGAACAUCUAUCCGUAUUUAACUUGCAGAUCCCCUGAAACGGCAGUUCCCAAUAGAUCUAGACCACCCUAUGGGAGUAUUGAGGCCUCCAUCCAUACAUACUAGAGUAAAAAGCAUGCCAGGAAACAAACCCAUCCGUGAAACCCAUCUGUGGAAUGUUGGUAACAUCACUUUGUUUCCUAAAAGGCUUGUUGGUAACCUACUAGAUGAAAUAAGGACUUCAAGCUAAUAGCCAUCACCAUUCUUGACAAUGAUAAUUAAUGGGUAUAAAUGAAGAUAUUAAACAUAAAUCAUGUUUAAGGAUGCAUCAUACCACAGAAACAAUCUUGCAUUCUCAGAAGUUAUCAGGCUUCCCAUUUUCACAAUCUCUAAAUAGUAUGAAGUAGAACAGCAAAAAGGCAAGCUCUGAAUUAACAAUUCAAUUGCUCAGAAACUAUUAUAACUUAAAACUGAAAACAACCCAACCUUUAGGAGGAAUAGCACUUCAUCAUUCUUGAAAGAUCUCAGAUUAGAAAAACUGCACUUAAAGAGGUGCCCUGGGCUAGCAACGCAGGGGAAAGUGUUAAGAAGAAAGGGCUGUGAUGCUUCCCAAGGGAGAGUAAAUCUUGUUUACAAACCCAGUUGAAGGAGAUUCAUAUGUAUGAGCAUCUUGCAAUUCUGCCAUUAUCCUCCAUACGUCUCCAGCUCCAUGAUAAGGACCUGCAACAAGAACAAUCAUUGUUCCAGGAAGUAAAAUGACAUUAUAUCAGAAAAAAAAGGAAGAGUGAACAGAAAUAAUUGUAAGCAAUCAACUAAAGAACGUUGUCCUCAUUGAGAAAUAUCAACGAACAACUAUGUUGCAUAGUCCCUCAAAUUGGGAUGUUACAAUAACAAAAAAACGAAAAGAAAUUUGAAUUGCAUUGAACAUCAAAACAAUCUAGACUAAGCUAGCUGAUGAACAGUGAACUGAACAACAACAAUCCGAUUACUCAAAAAGGGUUCAAAUUUUGCUAAAAUUAGUAUACUUGUGUAGUCAAUUCACAUAUGAAUUGCACGAACCAAUACAAACUUAUUAAAAAAAAAAACCUAGAAAUGUAAAUCACAACCUAGCUUAAAUAUACACUGAAAUUCGCUAUAUACAUGCGAAAAAUAAUCACAGUCAAAGAAGAGAUUUUUCCCACCAAGUAGAUUACGUAGGGAUAAAUUGAAGAAGACUAAAACAGAAAAAGCCCGAAACAUCCAUAGAUUGCACAUCAUUUCUUAUAAAUUCUAAAUUAUAGAUAGAAUAUGAAAAAAAAAGGUAAAAUAUGUUUUGAGGGACAAGGAAUCCUCUGCCACCAGCAACAACUUAAUUUCAACAGAAUCUAAAACUACCAUCUUAUUAAAUUGUUUCAUGAGUCACCAUCUAAUUAGCUGCAAAAUACUUCAGGGAAUAGUAGAAACUAAUUGUCAUAAACAUUAACUUACAUCUCUAAGUAGCAUAAUGUUGUUAGUGAAGCCAAUACAGUAAAAAAAUAUGAAGUCUCAGACACAAAUGCAAACAUGAAAAUAAAAAAGAGAAAAUAAUAAAAGUAAACAAAAGAAAUCAAGAUCAAACCAGCUGUAAAAGUGUCUGUAUUUCUUUUUUCUUUACCCAAAGCCUCUAGCCACUCAGGCUAUAGAUGAUUCACCGCCAUGAACAUCAAGCCUCAAACCUCACCACUAUAUAUUUUACCCUAUUAAAAUCACCCAUCUUGGAUGCUUUAAUUUGCACUACGAAGAGAGGUAAUUCAAAGAUAUCCGACGCUUUAAUGUCCACCUCAGAUGUAAUUUGGGGAUGGUAAGUAGAUGGCAAACCAAUUUCUAAGUUAAAUCCCAAAUUAAGAAUCAAAAUCCUAAAUUAAAUUUCACUGCACGUUUUUAUGAAAGAGAUAGAAAUUGAUUGAGAUUUGGGAGAACAUCUGGGAAGGCAACACAACUAAAGACGGAGAAUCAGUGGGGAGAAGAAAAGGGAAAUGUGGGCAAACCUCGAUAAGCUUUCUCCGUCAGCCGAUUGCUGUAGUAGAGAGGAGUGAGAAGUGGGAGGGGAGAGGACAAAGGAAGGUGGCAAUUUUGGACAGAGGAAUUGUAGCAUCCUCCAUUGCAACAUACUUUUCACACCGGCAUCGAUCUAUCCACAUAUAUCUCCUCAAAAGACACAUAUUUUCGCUUGACUGGCAUUAUACAUAAACCAGAAUCGAGAAUUGCAUCAUAUUAUCAAUCAUCCUCCUAUUAUUUAACAAAGGGUACACUGAUUGGGAUGCAAAGUUCACUACCAUUAAACAGGCGUACAGACUUAACUCAACCAGCAACAAGAGAGAAUAACUUUUCAGAAGGAAGCAAUGCAAAACAGGAGAACGGAAAGUAUACCUAUUUCUCACAAUCCCAGCACUAUUAUACGAAAAUGCAACUUUAAUUCAGCCUACAAUAACAGAAAGUUACCUUCCAACAGCAGCAACAAAAAGUAGUCAGACAAAACAAAGUCCAAGUAUUCCACAGCCACACCACGCACCUGCACAAUUAAGAGCAAGAUCAUAACCCAAUUAAAACAGACAUUAUAAAGGCGAAAUAAAAACUCUAAUCAAUAUGCAUACAACUACUGAAGCCACAAUAUAUUAAAAACACACAACCACAACUAAGCCACCACCGUUGAACUAGAAGAAAUCAAAAUCAACACAACAAGCAAAAGCAGAACAAAUAGAAACCAAAAAUUUAAGGAGUCAAUUCAUUGCAGUCCAAUCUCCCAGGGAACCAUAAAAAAAACCAAUAAAUAAGGUUGCUCUACGUCCACGCAUUGGAAACAAACUCAGUUCAAUUCAACCUGAGAAACGCAAGUGCAAAAACUAAAUGGACUCCUAUGGCAAAAUGGAGGAUCGGUCUGAAGUGAAAGAAAGAAAACCAGGAGAAACUCCUGGGACCUUAAUGGGUGCCAAGAUGGCAGAACUAUAAAAACGGAAGGAGAAACUCACGAAGGCUAAGGAUGAGGCGGUACAAUCGUGGUCAGAUUCCAGACCUGUGAUUGAUGAGCUUGAAAAGCUGCAGUCGGAACUUGCUGAUGCACAGAGUCGAACAGCCUCAUCCAACGUUACUAUUUCAGAGCUUGACUCUCAGCUUGAAAGGUUGAGUAUCUCUAUCAGGGCUAAGGAGGAGGAAGAACUGAAGAUCCGAACAAUGAUCAACAGGAUAAAUCAGGUCUUGCAGCAGACGCAGGAAGAGAUGGAGGAGUUCAAGAUGGAAAGAGAUGAAAAACACAGAACGGGAUUGAAACUAAAGCAAGUUCUACGUCUAAGGUGGCAGACUCUUCGCACUUUGCAACUCACCCUCAGAGCAAUACGAUUAGAAUCAGAAGCUUAUGCUGCAUCAGCUCAUGAAGCACAACGCUACAUCAGCCUUUUCCAGACAGAUGACACUAUGGUCAAGCUUACUCAAGAAGAGUACCAUGCAUUAACAAAAAGAGCAAGAGACGAAACUUCGUUGGCAGAAUGGCGAAUUGCAGUCUCUAUGGAACAAAAGCAGGCAGCCGAGGAAAGCCAAGAGGCAGCUGCUAGAAGAUUGCAGAACUUGUAUUCAAAGAAUGGAUCAGGGAAAAGGAAACAUCCCGCUAAUGGGGUCUUAAAAGUUUAAAGAGCAAUUUUCUACAAUUAAUGGCAAUAUAAUUUGUAAUCGUAUUUGUGAGAGGAAAAUUUGAAGCUUGUGCUUUUGUUGUAUUAUAAAUUUAAUCACAACUUCUAACCAAAUUUAUUUUAACAACACAAAUAAAAAAUCGUACUUGGUUAAAUAUUGAAUUCCGCUAUAUAAGAUUUUUGUAAUACUAACAAUAGUUGUUCUUGUAAUGACAACUAACAAUGGAAUAUAUUAUUUUGUUCGCUAAAUAAUAUUAGCUGAUUAUAUACGUGCAUAGCACAUGAUUUUUUCUAGUAAUUUGAAGUGUUCUAGAGAUACCAUUAGGAAUAAAGUUUACGAAAUGUGGCAUGAGCAGGUGAGCUUUGUCCGAUCUUUUACGUUGGUAUAUUUCUUAUUAUUGGUAAACCCUAUUAAUUCUUUUUAAACAAACUUACUGCUUCAUUAGAUAAAAACUACGAUACAUUUGGCAAAUUCUACUAGUUUCCAGGCAAAUUCUACUAGUUUACCAUUUAAAUGAGAUUCACAAUCUGGAAAAUCAUUUUUAUUUUUUUUUAUAAUCUCCCCGCAAUUUACAAUGAGUUCAGAGUGCUACCUUUGAUCAAUUUAGAAGAAUUUCCAUAAAGUCAUAAAAUAUCACAUAAGCAUUUUCAGAAGUAACGUGACAAUCUUUUUAAAACGGCAUUGUGUGUCACUUGUCACCCGUUUCGAUGUUCCAUUGCCAUUGGAUGCAUUUCUAAGGCCUCGCUUGAAUACUUAAAUUAAUUUAUGUUUCUUUUUUCUCAAGCCCUAAAUAUAAAUUUAAAAUAACCUAAUUAACAAUAUAAAGCAAACAAUUUAGUAGAGCGAAAUGAAAAGAACUCUGAAACACAUAAUGUAGUCAUAAUCGGCGUUUUACAACGCCUUUUUUUAUUUUUUCAAUUUUUUUCUUUUUUUUGGGUUUUUUGUUUUGACUUUGAUGUACCCCUAACUAUUACACAUAGAUAAAAAAGGAAAGAGAGAAAUUUACUACAUAAGACCCUAUGUAGCACGAAAAAACAAAGUAGACCCUGCACUGAAAACAUUAGCAGACACAACUACUGAUAAUCAUAGACUGAAUGGACACCAUUUUAUUUUGUUUUUCCUUUUUUUCAAUUUUUUUUCUUUUAUUGCGGUACCAAACGACUGAAGGAUGAUGGUAAUGAGUGCAUCCACCCUAAUUAGGGCAAAUUUCGAUGCCCUUGAUAAUAAUGCCAGACUUCCAGAUUGUAUCACUGGUUUGAAAAAUCCUAACUUCUGCCGUGGAACUAGCUUCUGCCGUGGAACUUCUUCCGCGGUUGUUGACGAAGUCACCCAAGUUCAAUUCCUUCCAUCCAUCACUACGGGGUUGAGGAUAUAUGCCCGGAUCCUUCGAAUCUUGUGACUUGUCAAUGAACACACUAUAGCCUUCAUUAUCAGUUCCCUUAGCCUUUUCUUCAGUAAAUCUAACCGAUGCAGUUGCUUUUUCAAGUCCCUUUGGCUUGGCAUUAAGUUUGAACACGAGAUAUGUCGAAUAGGAGCUGCCCCUUGGGAGUAGGGCUAUCAACGGGCCGGGUCCGGGCCAGAAUUCAUUAUUCCGGACCCGGCCCGAAUUACUAUACCGGAACCAGAUCCGACCCGUUUACCCGACGGGUCUUUUAUUCUAUGUUCCGGAUCCGGAUUCGGCGGGUCCCGGGUCCGGGUCGGGUCUACCCGCACAAAUUUAGCAAAAUUUAUAAAUUCUAAUAAAAAUGAGAAAAAAAUAUAUUUGUAAACUAAUUUCUAACUAAUGCAAAGAAAAAACCAAAUAAGCAAAGAAAUCAAGUUGACUUUACUCAAAUACAUCACCCUAAUCAAAUUAUAUUGAUAAAUAUAUAUUUUUUAAAUUAUUAAUUCAUUUAUAUCCGGAUCCGGGUCUAAUACGGGUCGGAAUACUAUAUUCCGUAUUCGACCCGUUUUUUUGUUUGACAAAACGGAUCCGGAAAACGGAAUUAAAUCCCUACCCAUACCCGCAAUAAUUUCACGGAUCCGGUUCGGAUCCGGGUCUAGACCCGACCCGUUGACAGGCCUACUUGGGAGGUCCCUAGCAGGCACACUGGUUCGAAUGUCAAACCAGCAAACUUCAACAAGCUCGGCAACCUCGAAGCUGUACAAAGGCAUUAAAAUCAGUUUAGGAUAAUCUUCGAAAGUCAUCAACUAACUAAAGGGAGAAAGUGAGAUAAUAAUAUAAAUGC